rnacentral:rRNA from 1 species
GAUGAACGCUGGCGGCGUGCCUAAUACAUGCAAGUCGAGCGAACAGACGAGGAGCUUGCUCCUCUGACGUUAGCGGCGGACGGGUGAGUAACACGUGGAUAACCUACAUAUAAGACUGGGAUAACGUCGGGAAACCGGAGCUAAUACCGGAUAAUAUAUUGAACCGCAUGGUUCAAUAGUGAAAGAGGGUUUUGCUGUCACUUAUAGAUGGAUCCGCGCCGCAUUAGCUAGUUGGUAAGGUAACGGCUUACCAAGGCAACGAUGCGUAGCCGACCUGAGAGGGUGAUCGGCCACACUGGAACUGAGACACGGUCCAGACUCCUACGGGAGGCAGCAGUAGGGAAUCUUCCGCAAAGGGCGAAAGCCUGACGGAGCCACGCCGCGUGAGUGAUGAAGGUCUUCGGAUCGUAAAACUCUGUUAUUAGGGAAGAACAAAUGUGUAAGAAACUAUGCACGUCUUGACGGUACCUAAUCAGAAAGCCACGGCUAACUACGUG